rnacentral:tRNA from 1 species
GGCUCGUUCGUCUAGCGGUCAGGAUCCCACCCUUUCACGGUGGUGACAUGGGUUCGAUUCCCAUACGAGUCA